AUUGAACGCUGGCGGCAGGCCUAACACACGCAAGUCGAACGGUAGCACAGAGAGCUUGCUCUCGGGUGACGAGUGGCGGACGGGUGAGUAAUGUCUGGGAAACUGCCCGAUGGAGGGGGAUAACUACUGGAAACGGUAGCUAAUACCGCAUAACGUCGCAAGACCAAAGUGGGGGACCUUCGGGCCUCACACCAUCGGAUGUGCCCAGAUGGGAUUAGCUAGUAGGUGGGGUAAUGGCCCACCUAGGCGACGAUCCCUAGCUGGUCUGAGAGGAUGACCAGCCACACUGGAACUGAGACACGGUCCAGACUCCUACGGGAGGCAGCAGUGGGGAAUAUUGCACAAUGGGCGCAAGCCUGAUGCAGCCAUGCCGCGUGUAUGAAGAAGGCCUUCGGGUUGUAAAGUACUUUCAGCGGGGAGGAAGGCGGUGAAGUUAAUAACUUCACCGAUUGACGUUACCCGCAGAAGAAGCACCGGCUAACUCCGUGCCAGCCGCCGCCGUAA
rnacentral:rRNA from 1 species